rnacentral:rRNA from 1 species
AGCUCCAGUAGCGUAUAUUAAAGUUGUUGCAGUUAAAAAGCUCGUAGUUGGAUUUCUGGUCUGGCGCGUUUGGCCCGCCCCGGUUAUCGGUGGUGUUGUGCCGACGCGCGCCUACCAUCCUUCCAGAGAACGUUUCUACCUUUCACUAGGCCGGAUUCGCAAUCUGGAUCUUUUACUUUGAAAAAAUUAGAGUGUUUAAAGCAGGCUUGUGCUAUGAAUACAUUAGCAUGGAAUAAUAAUUUAGGACUUUAGUUCUAUUUCGUUGGUUUCUAGAACUGAAGUAAUGAUUGAUAGGGAUAGUUGGGGGUGCUAGUAUUCAGCGGCCAGAGGUGAAAUUCUUGGAUUCGCGGAAGACUAACUUAUGCGAAAGCAUUCACCAAGGAUGUCUUCUUUAAUCAAG